GGCCUAACCUUAGGGAAGGAUGCUCCGAGGGUGUGGUUAGCGAUUGGGGUAAGUCGUACAAGGUAUCCGUACGGGAACGUGCGGAUGGAUCACCUCUU
rnacentral:rRNA from 1 species